rnacentral:rRNA from 1 species
GAUGAACGCUGGCGGCGUGCUUAACACAUGCAAGUCGAACGAUGAAGCCCAGCUUGCUGGGUGGAUUAGUGGCGAACGGGUGAGUAACACGUGAGUAACCUGCCCUUAACUCUGGGAUAAGCCUGGGAAACUGGGUCUAAUACCGGAUAGGAGCGUCCACCGCAUGGUGGGUGUUGGGAAGGUUUUAUCGGUUUUGGAUGGACUCGCGGCCUAUCAGCUUGUUGGUGAGGUAAUGGCUCACCAAGGCGACGACGGGUAGCCGGCCUGAGAGGGUGACCGGCCACACUGGGACUGAGACACGGCCCAGACUCCUACGGGAGGCAGCAGUGGGGAAUAUUGCACAAUGGGCGCAAGCCUGAUGCAGCGACGCCGCGUGAGGGAUGACGGCCUUCGGGUUGUAAACCUCUUCCAGUAGGGAAGAAGCGAAAGUGACGGUACCUGCAGAAGAAGCACCGGCUAACUACGUG